rnacentral:rRNA from 1 species
CAGGACGAACGCUGGCGGCGUGCCUAAUACAUGCAAGUCGAGCGGAUUUCGUCCUUCGGGAUAAGGUUAGCGGCGGACGGGUGAGUAACACGUAGGCAACCUGCCCUCGAGACUGGGAUAACCUCCGGAAACGGAUGCUAAUACCAGAUACGCGGUCUUCCCACCUGGGGAGAUCGGGAAAGACGGAGCAAUCUGUUACUCGGGGAUGGGCCUGCGGCGCAUUAGCUAGUUGGUGAGGUAACGGCUCACCAAGGCGACGAUGCGUAGCCGACCUGAGAGGGUGAUCGGCCACACUGGGACUGAGACACGGCCCAGACUCCUACGGGAGGCAGCAGUAGGGAAUCUUCCGCAAUGGACGAAAGUCUGACGGAGCAACGCCGCGUGAGUGAGGAAGGCCUUCGGGUCGUAAAGCUCUGUUGCCAGGGAAGAACGCUUGGGAG